rnacentral:rRNA from 1 species
CAUACUAAAUUUUGUAAGGUGUUACCUGCUCAGUGGCCUGAAAUUAAAAAGAUUUUGUUUCUUGAAUCAGGUUAAACAGCCGCCUUAAUCCUAGAGGGCGCGAAGUAAGCAUAAUCGGAUACCGUUUAAUUGGCGGAGAGUUGAAUGGAUAGACGAGCGCAAAUCUGUCUUAGCUUAAAAAUUAUGAAUUAGAUUUAUUAGUGAAAAAGCUAAUUAAUGUAGUAAGACGAAAAGACCCCGUGAAGCUUAACUGCAGCCUAAAAUUGUAUACACAUAUAAUUUUAGGUAGGUAGUUUUGGUGGGGUGCCAGCACGUUAAAAAAAACAUGGAGUUAUUAAUUUUAUCAUAAGAUUAAUUAGUGUAAGUUAUUACUUUAUACAAAGAUAAAAAUCUAAAAAAUGACCCGCCUGAAUGAAUUUUAAGACGACAAAAAAUAAAAGCUACUCCGGGGAUAACAGGGUAAUUAAAUUCUGUAGACGUUAUGUGGAAUUUUGUUUACCA